GAGUUUGAUCCUGGCUCAGGACGAACGCUGGCGGCGUGCCUAACACAUGCAAGUCGAACGGAGUUGAAAGGAGCUUGCUUUUUUCAACUCAGUGGCGGACGGGUGAGUAACGCGUGAGUAACCUGCCUUUCAGAGGGGGAUAACGUUCUGAAAAGAACGCUAAUACCGCAUAAGAUUGUAGUUUCGCAUGGAGCAGCAAUCAAAGGAGCAAUCCGCUGAAAGAUGGACUCGCGUCCGAUUAGAUAGUUGGCGGGGUAACGGCCCACCAAGUCGACGAUCGGUAGCCGGACUGAGAGGUUGAUCGGCCACAUUGGGACUGAGACACGGCCCAGACUCCUACGGGAGGCAGCAGUGAGGGAUAUUGGGCAAUGGGGGAAACCCUGACCCAACAACGCCGCGUGAGGGAUGACGGUUUUCGGAUUGUAAACCUCUGUCCUCUGUGAAGAUAGUGACGGUAGCAGAGGAGGAAGCUCCGGCUAACUACGUGCCAGCCGCCGCGGUAAUUC
rnacentral:rRNA from 1 species